rnacentral:rRNA from 1 species
ACGCUGGCGGCAGGCCUAACACAUGCAAGUCGAGCGGUAGCACAGAGAGCUUGCUCUCGGGUGACGAGCGGCGGACGGGUGAGUAAUGUCUGGGAAACUGCCUGAUGGAGGGGGAUAACUACUGGAAACGGUAGCUAAUACCGCAUAAUGUCGCAAGACCAAAGUGGGGGACCUUCGGGCCUCAUGCCAUCAGAUGUGCCCAGAUGGGAUUAGCUAGUAGGUGGGGUAACGGCUCACCUAGGCGACGAUCCCUAGCUGGUCUGAGAGGAUGACCAGCCACACUGGAACUGAGACACGGUCCAGACUCCUACGGGAGGCAGCAGUGGGGAAUAUUGCACAAUGGGCGCAAGCCUGAUGCAGCCAUGCCGCGUGUGUGAAGAAGGCCUUCGGGUUGUAAAGCACUUUCAGCGGGGAGGAAGGCGGUAAGGUUAAUAACCUCAUCGAUUGACGUUACCCGCAGAAGAAGCACCGGCUAACUCCGUGCCAGCAGCCGCGGUAAUACGGAGGGUGCAAGCGUUAAUCGGAAUUACUGGGCGUAAAGCGCACGCAGGCGGUCUGUCAAGUCGGAUGUGAAAUCCCCGGGCUCAACCUGGGAACUGCAUUCGAAACUGGCAGGCUAGAGUCUUGUAGAGGGGGGUAGAAUUCCAGGUGUAGCGGUGAAAUGCGUAGAGAUCUGGAGGAAUACCGGUGGCGAAGGCGGCCCCCUGGACAAAGACUGACGCUCAGGUGCGAAAGCGUGGGGAGCAAACAGGAUUAGAUACCCUGGUAGUCCACGCCGUAAACGAUGUCGAUUUGGAGGUUGUGCCCUUGAGGCGUGGCUUCCGGAGCUAACGCGUUAAAUCGACCGCCUGGGGAGUACGGCCGCAAGGUUAAAACUCAAAUGAAUUGACGGGGGCCCGCACAAGCGGUGGAGCAUGUGGUUUAAUUCGAUGCAACGCGAAGAACCUUACCUGGUCUUGACAUCCACAGAACUUUCCAGAGAUGGAUUGGUGCCUUCGGGAACUGUGAGACAGGUGCUGCAUGGCUGUCGUCAGCUCGUGUUGUGAAAUGUUGGGUUAAGUCCCGCAACGAGCGCAACCCUUAUCCUUUGUUGCCAGCGGUCCGGCCGGGAACUCAAAGGAGACUGCCAGUGAUAAACUGGAGGAAGGUGGGGAUGACGUCAAGUCAUCAUGGCCCUUACGACCAGGGCUACACACGUGCUACAAUGGCAUAUACAAAGAGAAGCGACCUCGCGAGAGCAAGCGGACCUCAUAAAGUAUGUCGUAGUCCGGAUUGGAGUCUGCAACUCGACUCCAUGAAGUCGGAAUCGCUAGUAAUCGUAGAUCAGAAUGCUACGGUGAAUACGUUCCCGGGCCUUGUACACACCGCCCGUCACACCAUGGGAGUGGGUUGCAAAAGAAGUAGGUAGCUUAACCUUCGGGAGGGCGCUUACCACUUUGUGAUUCAUGACUGGGGUGAAGUCGUAACAAGGUAACCGUAGGGGAACCUGCGGCUGGAUCACCUCCUU